rnacentral:lncRNA from 1 species
GAUUGGUUCAACCAAAAAUUGGCCUUCAGGUCAUGUUGCAGGGAAUUUAGGCUAUGUUUGUUUAUAAGAAUUACAUUUGGGAUAGGAUUAUUAAUCCCAAGUGUCUUGUUUGUUUUUAAAUUUAGACUUUGACUAUUAGUCUCGAGAUUAUAAAAUGACUUAAUAGUCUUUACAUUAUAAUUAUAAUCCCUGGAUUAUAAUCCUAGGAUUAAUCGUCUUGGGAUUAUAAUCUCGGGAUUAUAAUUCUUACAAACAAACAUAACUUUAGUGGUUAACUUGAUUGAGUCCAAUUUUUUUCUUCAAUAAGGAGACAUGAAAUACGGGGAGAACUAAUGAUCAUGGAGGUAAAACUAACUUGUACGUCACCUUACCAGUAAUUUUUAUUACUUCAAAAGGCCUAAAAUAUUUGGAAGAGUUCUUUAAAUAUUUCCGUAAAGGAAUUGAGGAUUGUCUAUAAGGCUACAAGCAUAGGUACACCCAAUCCCCU